AAAAAAAAAUCAACCUCAGUUAGAAUAAAGAUAACGUAAAUAGACAAUAAAAGCUUCACAAUUUCAUUGCAAUCAAACAAAAGCUUUCAAAAUUUUCUUUUAGCUCUAUUGCAAUCUCACACAAUUCUUAUCUCAUUUCUUCGAAUCCAAAAGAAGAAAUAGGCAUAAAGUCAAAGCAAAUGACUCGAUAACUUACAUCGGUCAUUUUCG
rnacentral:misc_RNA from 1 species